rnacentral:rRNA from 1 species
UACGAAGGGGGCUAGCGUUGUUCGGAAUUACUGGGCGUAAAGCGCACGUAGGCGGAUAUUUAAGUCAGGGGUGAAAUCCCGGGGCUCAACCCCGGAACUGCCUUUGAUACUGGGUAUCUCGAGUAUGGAAGAGGUGAGUGGAAUUCCGAGUGUAGAGGUGAAAUUCGUAGAUAUUCGGAGGAACACCAGUGGCGAAGGCGGCUCACUGGUCCGGUACUGACGCUGAGGUGCGAAAGCGUGGGGAGCAAACAGG